rnacentral:rRNA from 1 species
UGGGGAAUAUUGGACAAUGGGCGCAAGCCUGAUCCAGCCAUGCCGCGUGAGUGAUGAAGGCCUUAGGGUUGUAAAGCUCUUUCGCCAGGGACGAUAAUGACGGUACCUGGAUAAGAAGCCCCGGCUAACUUCGUGCCAGCAGCCGCGGUAAUACGAAGGGGGCUAGCGUUGUUCGGAAUCACUGGGCGUAAAGCGUAUGCAGGCGGAUCGUUAAGUCGGGGGUGAAAUCCCGAGGCUCAACCUCGGAACUGCCUUCGAUACUGGCGAUCUUCGAGUCCGGGAGAGGUGAGUGGAACUGCGAGUGUAGAGGUGAAAUUCGUAGAUAUUCGCAAGAACACCAGUGGCGAAGGCGGCUCACUGGCCCGGUACUGACGCUGAGAUACGAAAGCGUGGGGAGCAA